rnacentral:misc_RNA from 1 species
GACUAAUUCAUUUCCGGUCGAAUGAUGGCCGACUUCUUUAACUUUUGGAAGUUCUGUCAAAAGUUGUGAACUCUGUGUUUGGUGAUGCCGAGUUCGGUUUUAACUCUUGUUUAAUGUGAUUGAAAUGGAAAUAUUCCAUAAUUAUGGUGCUUAUCCUGAAAAUUACAAGACAUUAUCGUGAUGUCCGCUGUGGAACGUCAGGAAUUAGCAUCAGCCAAGAAAAUACCAAGUCUCGAAUUAGUGGAACAAAAGGGACCACAGAAGGGUGUUGUGCCUGUGGGAGCCACAGAUAGCCCAUCCCAUCACAGCCCAUCACAACAGAAGAUGACCAAGAGCAUGUCCUUGACAAAUCUCAACAAUAACCAGAAAGCCAGCGCUGGCCCUGUGGACCAAGAUGAUAUAUUGGCUCUCACUCAGCAAGUCAAGCUGUUCUCUGAUGGCCUGUCUCACCUCAAAACCGUCUUUACCGAUUUCUCAGGAUCUGGGGAGGAUCUUCGGAUCAUGUCCCACUCCCGACUCGGAGAGGUCCUUGCCAUUUUGAAGAAUAUUCUUCAUAAAUAUCCUGCACUGCAGUCCUCGGAACUAUUCUCAGCAUCUGCGGGUCUUAUCAGUAAAAUUAAAACCCAUGAUUAUGGUUUAUCCCCAGCCUCUUUAGCCGAUCAUAAUUUUUGUGAAGCAAUUGACCAACUUGCCCUGGCUUUCAGCAGCAGUGUGUCAGAAUAUCUGAUGGGGGACCUAGGGAGCAUAACCCUUACAAAAGAGGGGAAAGUGGACAAAACCAAGUCUUACGGAGACCUUUUGAAAUUAGAGAAGAAUGCUGGAUUGUGUGCUGCAGAUCCAGCCACUCAAGACACUAUGAAUCCCGAAGAGAUUGAUUCCAUUUUGCUAAGAUUGCAAGCUGGGGUGGACUUGGCCAUGCAAAGGGCUAAGGCGUGGUCCAAGUACAUGAAAGAGAUCACUACAUAUAUAGAGAAAAAGACACAACUAGAGGCUGAUUACACCAAGAAUGUCCUCAGACUAGCAAACAAUAUGCUCCCUGUCCUCUCGGAGGAGGAUUUUUUGCCUCUGCAGUCUGUGUUUUGUACAGCGAUCUCACAAGAUAUUGAGUAUGCCUCUACAUGUCAAGCCACACAGACACUCAUACAGUCCACCAAGUUUGUGGAGCCUCUGACCACAAGGAGGUCUGAACAUGACAAAAUGAGACGGUCUGUGAAGGACACAUGGGUCAAAGAAGUCAAGAAAAUGCAAGAAGCAGUGAACAGUCUAAGGAAGUCCCAGUCCAUGUACAUGAUGCGAAAGCAGGAGUACGAGAAGGCGCGGGAACAGUCCUCCAAGGUCGAGUCAGACAUGCUGGACAAGAGCAACAGCAGCAGUGUCCUCAGUAAGAUGGACAAGCGCAAAAAGCUGGAGGAGGAUGCCAUGCAUAAGGCAGCUGAAGCGGAGACAACAUACAAAGCCUGUGUGGCAGAAGCCAACUCCAAACAACAGGAACUGGCUAAAACUAAGGGGGAACUUUUAUCCAAGAUCAGAGAACAGAUUCUGUUGUGUGACCAAGUUAUAAAAUCAGUUACGGUGGAGUACUUUGACCUCCUGCACACCCUGACGGCCCCGAUCUCUGUCCAGUACCAGUCCCUGUGUGAGGCCAGUCAGAAGUACCAGCCUGGCUCUCAGUUUGGCGCCUUUGUUCGCAGUGUCUCCAUGUCCCCCACCAACAUACCAAUGAAAGAGGAUGCCUUUGUGUUCGAACCAUUUAUUUCCUCAAGAGAGUCGCAGAGGAAAACAAGUGGUCAGUCGACUGGAUCAUCCAAUGAUCUCCAGUUGCAGGAUGAAUCUCCACUCAUGGGUAGAAAUGACCGAUAUAGAGUGAAAGCAUGGGGGACAACUCUGGUGAGUGAGUCGGACAGUGGGAGCAGUCGCUCUGUGGAGUCUUCCCCCAGCAGUAGUCCCCACCAGAGUGGGCGAAAACCCUUCGUCAAAGCAGGUUCUCUUGAUGACCUGGAAGAAGCUGAGGGUGAAGCUGUUUUGUUAGGGUUACCCUCUACAGAAGUGGAUCUGCAAGCUUUACUAAAGAGGCAGAACAAGCGACGAAACACAACAUUUGGUGUAGAUUUCCAGGAGCAGGUGGAGAAAAGUCGAUCCGCCAUCCCUUCUAUUGUGACAAAAUGUCUGACAGAAAUAGAAAAACGGGGCAUCAUGAUCAAAGGUAUCUACAGAAUGUCGGGAGUGAAGAGUAAGGUGGAGUCCCUAUGUUCCAAGUUUGAAAAGGACCCAGACUCCGUGAACUUAGAUGAUGAGCACCCUAAUGUCAUAUCUAAUGUUCUGAAACUCUACCUUAGACAGCUGCCUGAACCUCUUCUUAGCUUUAAGCUGUAUUCCAGUUUUAUACAAGUUGCAAAGGAUAACAUGGGAAAUGUGUUGAAUGAAGAAGACACAGUGAACAAGCUUGGAGACCUGGCUUCACAACUUCCUUAUUCCAAUUUCAAAACAUGUGCAAUGCUAAUACAUCAUUUGUCCAGGAUUGCAUCAUACAGCAGUUCAAAUCAAAUGACGGCCAGUAACCUUGGUAUUGUGUUCGGACCGACACUUCUUAGGCCUUUAGAGGGAACAGGCAGCCUGGCUUCACUGGUUGACACGCCUCAUCAAACUCGGACUGUGGAGCUUUUGAUCAUUAAUGUCAAGGAGAUCUUUGGUCCGGAGACAGAGUAUGAGUUGAUACCUGGAGAGACGCCAGUGGAACAGUUGUCAGUGAACGGACAGAAUCGCCACGAGAAGGAAGCAGAUCUAGAAGGAACCAAAGAAAAAAGCACCAAAACUAGAUCUAGCACUGAGGAAGGGGACCUGUUGAAUUUCUCAGAUGAUGGCAAAUCCAAGAUUAUCUUAUAUGGUUAAAAAAAAGCAGACUUCUGACAGGGACUAUGUUUUACCGGGUAGCACAGACAAGAAAAGCUCCUCACCCCCAGCUGUGUCCGAGGGUAACGAACACUAACCUCACAGUAUAGCCAUGUAGCUUGAACACAUGUCUGUCUGUGGCACUGUCUCAUGUUCUCGUUACUGUCUCAAACUCCUCAUGUGUCACUCUGAAUGUAUUCAUGUAAAUUGUCCAGGUGGAUGGUGAACUUUACAAUACUAAUUGUGUACCUAAUUUUUUAAAAAUAAAUUCUUUUGUAUUUUC